AUGCCAAUUAUGCACCAUCAGCAGCAGCAGAUGCAGUUUGGUCACGCCCCAGAGCAAAUGCAACCUGGUAAUCAGAUGCAAGGAUUUGGAGAGGGGCAGUCUAGCACUCACCAGCAGAUUUCUCAAAACCAAGAGAAGAGGAAAAGCAAGAGCUUCUCCCAGAAAGAGGUGCAAAGGAAAUCUGGAGAUGACAAGUCUGAAAGCUCUCAGAGCAGGAAUGAGGAAGUGGUGGUCAACUAUGAUCCAAAAAUGAGAGAUGUUAUAUGCUAUAACUGUGGAGAACCAGCACACUUUGUGGGAACAUGUCCAGUGCCCAAAAAGUGUUUCAUCUGUCACAAACCAGGGCACCAUAUGGACAACUGUUCGGAAUGGUACAAACCGCAAGCUACUGCUCAAUACUUUGGCAGUGCUAAUGCAGGGCUAGGUUUCUUUCACAUUGAAUCAGAUGGCAAAGAGGCUGUUAAAUGGCUAAAUAUGUCCAAUGUUUGUGUGGCUGUUAUUGAAGAAGGGUCCAUCACAACACAAGAGCUGAAGAACAAUUUCUCUGAGAUAUGGAAAACUAACUGGCCAUGGCAGGUGAGGCAGUUGACUGAGAAGAGGUUCCUAGUUAGGUUCCCACCUCACCAAAAGGUAAAAGAUUUGGUAGAGCUACCCUCCAUUAGUCUCAGAAAGAAAGGGGUGACAGUUUCUUUUGAUAAGUGGGAUGGAGAGGAGGUGGCCUAUGCUGAAUUGCAAGAGGUGUGGGUAACCAUGAUUCGGAUCCCUGUCAACAAACUCACUUGGAAAGUAAUCUCUCAGAUCACUUACAUCUUGGGGGUCUUGAUUAAUGUGGACUGGCAUGAGAUAUUUAGAAGUUUCUAUGAAAAGGUUAAAGUGCAGGUGGCUGUAAGGGACAUAUCAAAGAUCCCUACAGAAAGGCUGGUAGAGAUUGACAAGGAACUGUUUCUUAUUUGUUUCCUUGUUGACAUAGCUCCAGUUGCUGGAAGUGUGAACCCAAGUAAUAGUGGUGAAGAAAAAUCAGAUGAUGACCUGUUGGAGGGGAGUCCUGAAAGAGACAUGCAAAUGCAAGGCCCCAAAGACAUGGAAACUGACAAGAGCAAAAACCCCAAGUCUGGGGGCCCACCCCAAAAUUCACAAAAAGGUCCCACUAAGUCCAAGACCCCUGUGGAACUGGUGAAUUCACUAGAAAAAAGGGUGCAAAGUGCAAUACUGAGUCUGCAAAAUGACUCUCACAUGAAGAAGACUGUGGAGAAGAAAAACCCUGAAGACAACAUUGCUAUUCAACUGCUGGACCAAUUUGAUGAAGAGUCUGAUGGAGAUGGGGCCACUUUGGAGGUGCCAAAACCACAAAAGCACAAAUGGUGGCCUGUGGUGGCACCUAGAGUGAGCACGGAAUCAAAAGAGAUGGGAGGAAUGCUAUUCAAAAGGCUGAAGACCUCAGAAAGCUAA
rnacentral:rRNA from 1 species